UGUGAGCUAGGGUGACCUCUAGUCCGACUUUUGUGAAAUGCCUUGAGAGGUGUAGGAUCAAGUGGGAGCCGGAAAAGCGAAGAGUGAAUACCACACUUUUAACGUUAUUUUACUUAUUCCGUAAUCGGAGAGCGGGCAUUGCCCCUCUUUUUGGAGCCCAAGGCUCGUCUUGCGGGUCCGAUCGGGCGGAAGACAUUGUCAGGUGGGAGUUUGGCUGGGGCGGCACAUCUGUUAAACGAUACACGCAGGUGGUCGACAUAAAUGAAUGAGCUCAAACGAGAAACAGAAAUCUCGUGUGAACAGAAGGGUAAAAAAAGCUCGUUUGAUUACUGAUUUCCAGUACGAACUACGACGCGUGAAGCGUGGCGCCUAGACGAUCCUAUUAGACUUCGGAAUUCGAAGCUAGAGGUUCAGAAAAAGUUACCACAGGAUCAAACUGGCUUUGUGCAAGCCAAGCGUUCCAUCAGCGACUUGCUUUUGAUACCUUCGAUGUCCGGCUUCUUCCUAUACAUGGUGAAUGCAGAAUCAACGCAAGUGUUGAUUGUUCACCCACACAAUAGGAAACUAGCGGGUUCAGAUCGUCGUAACAGGUUAGUUUACCACUAACUGAUGACAGUGUCGGCAAUAGUAAUCACCUAGUUACGAGAGGAACCGUUGAUUUCGCACAAUUGUCAUCGCGCUUGGUUUGAAAAGCCACGUGGCGCGAAGACUAACCGUGCUUUGGAUUAUGAACUGAACGGCCUCUAAGUCAAAUCCGGGCUAACGACGCAUGCGCUCGUCGCACACGUUUGCUCGACCGCAGUAGGGGCCAUUUGGCGCCCAAGGCCACGUGUCUGUUGGCUAAGCCGUCGUGGGGCGGAAGGGUCACGGUGCCGCCUUGAAUUACAAUUCCCGAAUCGAGCGCGAGCUGAAUCCUGCAGACACUUAAAUACCGACGGGGUAUUUGGUAAAGGUAGAUGCCUUGCGCACGAUCCUCUGAGAUUCAGCCCUUUGUCGCUGACGCGA
rfam:Ipomoea nil DNA, scaffold: scaffold0636, cultivar: Tokyo-kokei standard.